AAAGUUUAUAGACCUUGCAUGUUAAACUGUUUCCUGGGACUGGAGUCAUUGUCAUUGUCACCAAGGGCAGGACUGCAGCCUCUUACCGUUUCACACCCACAAGUCAGACAGCUUAGGUUAUCUCUGAAGAGACAAAGAGCCUCCCACCCAUAGUCCACAUCACUGUCAGAUGUGGCCUGGCAUUCAGAGACUUUCCUUUUCUGGCUCUGCCAGAGACAUAAAUAUGUCAAGAGAGACAUGGUUAGUGAGGAAGAACCCUUUGAGCCUGGAGGGACCAUAGACUGUGUCACUGUGCACCGUGGGAUCAGUACAGUUUCCUGGAGGAGGCACCAGCCCUCAUCUACACAGGGUGAUUUCCUUUCCAGUAGCUGUUCUCCAGAGGUGCUCAGAAGCGAUUCCCAGAGGAGCCAAUACCUCUUCCAGAAUGAACCCUUCAAAACAAUGUGUAAACCAAAAUGCUUGUGUGAGCUUCAAACAAUUGAAAGCGGUUUCAGAACAUCUGAAGGAUCUGUGUCAGCCUCCAAGGCUGAUCUAAGGGCUCACAGAGCUGUGUUUGUCUAUGUGCCUGUUUAACAACUCCUGGGGA
rnacentral:lncRNA from 1 species